rnacentral:rRNA from 1 species
GAUGAACGCUGGCGGCGUGCCUAAUACAUGCAAGUCGAGCGAACAGAUGAGGAGCUUGCUCCUCUGACGUUAGCGGCGGACGGGUGAGUAACGCGUGGAUAACCUACCUAUAAGACUGGGAUAACUUCGGGAAACCGGAGCUAAUACCGGAUAAUAUAUUGAACCGCAUGGUUCAAUAGUGAAAGACGGUUUUGCUGUCACUUAUAGAUGGAUCCGCGCCGCAUUAGCUAGUUGGUAAGGUAACGGCUUACCAAGGCAACGAUGCGUAGCCGACCUGAGAGGGUGAUCGGCCACACUGGAACUGAGACACGGUCCAGACUCCUACGGGAGGCAGCAGUAGGGAAUCUUUCGCAAUGGGCGAAAGCCUGACGAAGCAACGCCGCGUGAGUGAUGAAGGUCUUCGGAUCGUAAAACUCUGUUAUUAGGGAAGAACAAAUGUGUAAGUAACUAUGCACGUCUUGACGGUACCUAAUCAGAAAGCCACGGCUAACUACGUG